UGGUGGAGUGAUUUGUCUGGUUAAUUCCGAUAACGAACGAGACCCCGUCCUACUUACUAGACUUGAGAUGAUUUUCAUCUCUUGAAUCUUCUUAGAGGGACAACUGCGUAAAUCUAGCUACAUGAAAUGGGGCAAUAACA
rnacentral:rRNA from 1 species